GCGCCUGUAGCUUAAUGGAUAGAGCGUGUGGCUUCGGACCACAAGGUUGGGGGUUCGACUCCCUCCAGGCGCGCCA
rnacentral:tRNA from 7 species